rnacentral:rRNA from 1 species
UACGUAGGGUGCGAGCGUUAAUCGGAAUUACUGGGCGUAAGGCGUGCGCAGGCGGUGAUGUAAGACAGAUGUGAAAUCCCCGGGCUCAACCUGGGAACUGCAUUUGUGACUGCAUCGCUGGAGUGCGGCAGAGGGGGAUGGAAUUCCGCGUGUAGCAGUGAAAUGCGUAGAUAUGCGGAGGAACACCGAUGGCGAAGGCAAUCCCCUGGGCCUGCACUGACGCUCAUGCACGAAAGCGUGGGGAGCAAACAGG